GGCCAGGUAGCUCAGUUGGUACGAGCGUCCGCCUGAAAAGCGGAAGGUCGGCGGUUCGAUCCCGCCCCUGGCCACC
rnacentral:tRNA from 1 species